CACUCUAAGGAGACUGCCGGUGACAAACCGGAGGAAGGUGGGGAUGACGUCAAGUCAUCAUGGCCCUUACGGCCUGGGCUACACACGUGCUACAAUGGUCGGUACAAAGGGUUGCCAAGCCGCGAGGUGGAGCUAAUCCCAUAAAACCGAUCGUAGUCCGGAUCGCAGUCUGCAACUCGACUGCGUGAAGUCGGAAUCGCUAGUAAUCGUGAAUCAGAAUGUCACGGUGAAUACGUUCCCGGGCCUU
rnacentral:rRNA from 1 species